rnacentral:siRNA from 1 species
AUAGGCUGUUUACUUGUAGGACA